rnacentral:rRNA from 1 species
ACAUAGCACAUUCGAGGUAGACGCAGAGAACUGAAACAUCUAAGUACCUGUAGGAAGAGAAAGAAAAUUCGAUUCCCUGAGUAGCGGCGAGCGAAACGGGAAAAGCCCAAACCAACAAGCUUGCUUGUUGGGGUUGUAGGACUCCAAUAUGGUCGUUCUUUCAGAUAGUCGAAUGACUUGGAAAAGUCAGUCAAAGAGGGUAAAAACCCCGUAGACGAAAUGUGGAAGACACCUAGGAGGAUCCUGAGUACGGCGGAACACGAGAAAUUCCGUCGGAAUCCGGGAGGACCAUCUCCCAAGGCUAAAUACUCCCUAGUGACCGAUAGUGAACCAGUACCGUGAGGGAAAGGUGAAAAGCACCCCGGAAGGGGAGUGAAAUAGAACCUGAAACCGUGUGCCUACAACAAGUCAAAGCCCGUUAAUGGGUGAUGGCGUGCCUUUUGUAGAAUGAACCGGCGAGUUACGAUUGCAUGCGAGGUUAAGUUGAAGAGACGGAGCCGCAGCGAAAGCGAGUCUGAAUAGGGCGUUUGAGUAUGUAGUCGUAGACCCGAAACCAUGUGAUCUACCCAUGUCCAGGUUGAAGGUGCGGUAAAACGCACUGGAGGACCGAACCCACGUACGUUGAAAAGUGCGGGGAUGAGGUGUGGGUAGCGGAGAAAUUCCAAACGAACUUGGAGAUAGCUGGUUCUCUCCGAAAUAGCUUUAGGGCUAGCCUCGGAAUUGAGAAUGAUGGAGGUAGAGCACUGUUUGGACUAGGGGCCCAUCUCGGGUUACCGAAUUCAGAUAAACUCCGAAUGCCAUUCAUUCAUAUCCGGGAGUCAGACUGUGAGUGAUAAGAUCCAUAGUCGAAAGGGAAACAGCCCAGACCACCAGCUAAGGUCCCAAAAUAUAUGUUAAGUGGAAAAGGAUGUGGGGUUGCACAGACAACUAGGAUGUUGGCUUAGAAGCAGCCACCAUUUAAAGAGUGCGUAAUAGCUCACUAGUCGAGUGACCCUGCGCCGAAAAUGUACCGGGGCUAAACAUAUUACCGAAGCUGUGGAGUACACCUUUAGGUGUAUUGGUAGGAGAGCGUUCUAAGGGCGUCGAAGGCAGAUCGUGAGGACUGCUGGAGCGCUUAGAAGUGAGAAUGCCGGUAUGAGUAGCGAAAGACAGGUGAGAAUCCUGUCCACCGAAUGACUAAGGUUUCCUGGGGAAGGCUCGUCCGCCCAGGGUUAGUCGGGACCUAAGCCGAGGCCGAUAGGCGUAGGCGAUGGAUAACAGGUUGAUAUUCCUGUACCCGUUGUUUUUGUUUGAGCAAUGGAGGGACGCAGGAGGCUAAGGAAUGCAGACGAUUGGAAAUGUCUGUCCAAGCAGUAAGUCUGAAGAGGAGUCAAAUGCUUCUUUUCUUAAGGACAA